UUUCCGUAGGUGAACCUGCGGAAGGAUCAUUACAGAGUUCAUGCCCUCACGGGUAGAUCUCCCACCCUUGAAUAUUUAUACCUUAGUUGCUUUGGCAGGCCGUGGAAACACCAUGGGCUCCGGCUUAUGCGUGACUGCCAGAGGAAACAAACUCUGUUUUUAGUGAUGUCUGAGUACUAUAUAAUAGUUAAAACUUUCAACAACGGAUCUCUUGGUUCUG
rnacentral:misc_RNA from 1 species